rnacentral:lncRNA from 1 species
CACAAAUCCUUCCGGGUUGGAGGUUGGACUACUGGGCGUCGCACUGUGAUGACGCGUCGGACAGCGUCGGACAGCGUCGCGAGCACAGUGCAACUCUCUCCGCGAGUGGAACAGCUGUCGCUCGAGCCUGAUGUGCUGCUAUUUCCCGCUUCGGUUCCAGUGUGAGCGGGCUGUGGGGCAGCGGGACCAGAAGCAGGACCAGGACCAGAAGCCGCUGCUCUCCGGUAGUCCUACAGGGGCUCACACAGGGGGGUUCUCUGCUGUUUAACAAGCUUUCUGCGACAACACAGCCACGAAGAAGAAGAGUGACAGACCGCGGGAAAAUGAUGUCGUAACUUCCUGUGCAAUGAAGUCUUGGCGCGACAAUACAGUUGUAAACAAGAGGAGGACACACAACGACACACAACAACACGCAGACACGAACUCUGUAAGAAACUGAGCCACAGAGAUACUAGAAGAAUGGAGAACAUUGAUACCAACAAUGCUUCUGGUCUCUUGGUACCUGAUGUCAGUGAAGAUUCUGUGGAUAUCUAUGAAGGCCUGGAUAUCGGUUUUAGCAGCGAUGCAGGUAAAAAAAUUUUUUUAAUAUUUAAAAAGAUUAUUGUUUUCUCGUGGUAGGAAAAUAGUCCAGCACAGCAACAUUGAGACUUUAUAAUUGCAAAUUGUCUUAUUUUGGUUCAUUACAGAGAAGUCAUCUCCAAAAGCUUCUCAGCUUAAGGACUCUAUGGAUCUUUAUGAAGAACUUGUCACAGAGGAACAGCAGAGCAGAGAGUCAUCAUACUUGGAGGUGAGUUUCCAUGCACCCUUUCUCUCUGUUGACCUGUUGUUGUUGUUGUUAUU